CUGGCGGCAGGCCUAACACAUGCAAGUCGAGCGCUCACUUCGGUGGGAGCGGCGGACGGGUUAGUAACGCGUGGGAAUAUGCCCGGUACUAAGGAAUAGCCUUUGGAAACGAAGAGUAAUACCUUAUACGCCCUUCGGGGGAAAGAUUUAUCGGUAUCGGAUUAGCCCGCGUAAGAUUAGAUAGUUGGUGGGGUAAUGGCCUACCAAGUCUACGAUCUUUGGCUGGUUUUAGAGGAUGAUCAGCAACACUGGGACUGAGACACGGCCCAGACUCCUACGGGAGGCAGCAGUGGGGAAUCUUAGACAAUGGGCGCAAGCCUGAUCUAGCCAUGCCGCGUGAGUGAAGAAGGCCUUAGGGUCGUAAAACUCUUUCGCCAGAGAUGAUAAUGACAGUAUCUGGUAAAGAAACCCCGGCUAACUCCGUGCCAGCAGCCGCGGUAAUACGGAGGGGGUUAGCGUUGUUCGGAAUUACUGGGCGUAAAGCGCACGUAGGCGGACUGGAAAGUUGGGGGUGAAAUCCCGGGGCUCAACCUCGGAACUGCCUCCAAAACUAUCAGUCUAGAGUUCGAGAGAGGUGAGUGGAAUUCCAAGUGUAGAGGUGAAAUUCGUAGAUAUUUGGAGGAACACCAGUGGCGAAAGCGGCUCACUGGCUCGAUACUGACGCUGAGGUGCGAAAGUGUGGGGAGCAAACAGGAUUAAAUACCCUGGUAGUCCACACCGUAAACGAUGAAUGCCAGUCGUCGGCAAGUAUACUUGUCGGUGACACACCUAACGGAUUAAGCAUUCCGCCUGGGGAGUACGGUCGCAAGAUUAAAACUCAAAGGAAUUGACGGGGGCCCGCACAACCGGUGGAGCAUGUGGUUUAAUUGGAAGC
rnacentral:rRNA from 1 species